CGCGCGUUUCAUGAUCACCCGGAGCAUUGUAGAAUGUAGAACGACUGUCGGCUACCGACGCCGCCACUACGACCAAUCGCGAAACGAACGCGCGCGGUACACGGCCACACGCCGCCAAAACUGUCGUUUCGAUGAGAUUACCGAUUUGUCGUCGUCGCCCACCACCACUGAUUGUUCCAGCAACACACACCGAAACGACUGCGGUACUGUGAUAGUGCCAUGUGAUAGUCGCGCAAUGCGACCGGCCGGCCUCGUUAUGGCCGCCGCCGCCGACCGACGGUGCGCGCGCGACGGUACACGUGCGUGCGUGUGUGCAUAAUAUAAUAUUAUGCGUGUACCUACCUAUGUGUGCAGUACACACGACGUCGCCGCACCGCUCGGAGCAAUGAAAUUGUUUUAAACUGCAUGCCCACACGAUCACGACGAUGCAAUGAUGACGGCAAAGUAGAAAUCGAAUUGAUGUCGUUGAUUUUCGCUUUGUCAGCAUGAAAACCGAAAUCACAAAAGCCAAUAUUCCUCGAAACGGGAACACACGAGGAGCAUCCGUUUAUUUCCAAAUAUAAUUAUUAUUUCGCGGUACCUAUACCGCUCAACAAAAUAUUGCUGAAGUAAUCAUUAUAAUCAUUUCUAAAUGCUGGACGAUUAUACAUAUUUUUUUUUUUAA